rnacentral:rRNA from 1 species
UACGUAGGGGGCAAGCGUUGUCCGGAAUCAUUGGGCGUAAAGCGCGUGUAGGCGGCUGGCUAAGUCCGCUCUGAAAGCCCGGGGCUCAACCCCGGGAGGCGGGUGGAUACUGGUCAGCUCGAGUCCGGAAGAGGAGUGUGGAAUUCCUGGUGUAGCGGUGAAAUGCGCAGAUAUCAGGAGGAACACCGGUGGCGAAGGCGGCAUCCUGGACCGACACUGACGCUGAGGAGCGAAAGCCAGGGGAGCAAACGGG